rnacentral:lncRNA from 11 species
CUUGGAGGGCCACAUCUGGCCCCCGGGCCUUAGUUUGAGGACCCCUUCCCUGGACCCUCCAGAGAUAUAUAAACCCCACUUGCCUUGGUUUCCAGCAAACCUCACAACCUCUGAGGAUGCCUGCCAUUGAUGUGGGCAAAACGUCAGGAGAGAAUGCUUCUGGAACAUGGCCAUACAGCCAGGAAAACUCACAGCAACCCAAUUUUGGUCUAAUUUUACUAAAUGAAAACCUCAAAGCAAGUUGUGCAGGGGGGGGGGAUCUGUAAGUAAACCCAAGACCUUUUUGGAUGCAUAUCGCCAAAUUCAGAUAAAACCAGCACAAACUCUUCGUUUUUUUUUUUAAAAAAAAGUCUCCUGGGAGGCGAGAGAGGUGGGACGGGGAGGCGCUGGAGAGGAGAGGCGGCCAAGGCGACGCCGGGAAGCGCUCCUCGGGGACUGACUCCUCGGGAUCUCGUCGCUACCCGUCCCGGGGCUCCAGAAGAGGAAGAAAAGGGAAUAUGAGAUGGCAACCCACAUCCAUCGUUACAAAAAGAGCACAUUUCCUCCACUUCCCCCAGUUAAUUUCAAGACUCAGGGGACUCAAGCUGUCUUACAAAUCUGGCAAAAAUUCAAUGCCACAAAGAUCAAUUCAAACCAAGAAAAAUCUGAAACAGGCAAUAAAGGGAGGACAAGAGACAGCAACAAAGUUUUAAGUGAUGAAGAGAAAGAAGCUCUCAUUAAACAAGCUCUGCAAGAAAAGGUAAUUCUGAUACAAUAUUAUGUAUUUGUUUUCAAAGAAGUAGCCAAAUUUGUCUUUUGCAUGU